ensembl:lncRNA
UAAAAAUCUCAGUCUACUGUGUAAUUCCCGUUUUACCAGCCUCCUGCAGGAGGGCCUGGAGCUCCCUUGAUGCAGCCCCUAAUGGGGCAGCCUAUGAUGGGACAGCCCAUGAUGAGACCUCCCUUCACUGGGGUGGCUGGAGCCGCUGCACCAGGAGCACCGGUAACACAUUACACAUAGUAAAGCCCUCAGUGGACAAUAAGGCAAUGUGUCUACACAGACAGGAACCAGUUAUACUUAUGCUUUUACAUUUUAUGAUUUAGGUCAAGAUGAUUAAUGUUGUCCUGAAAAGAUGCAGCACUUUUCUUCCUUUUUUCCCAGAUUCCUCCGGGACCUGCAAGCCAGAGCCCCAAGAAGCCCAAGGACCCUUUGGCAGAACUCGACCUCAAAGACUUCUUAUAACGCCCCAGCUGCUUUCUUCUCUGGAGCAGGGCCCUCGCACCUUUUACUUGGUGUCUGUCAACAUCUCAGGAUGUUCAGCUUAUUCAACCCAAUAAGAGCCUCUUAUCUCCACCCGCCCAUCAACACCCCACCCGUCUCCUGUGUGAUGUCGUAGCACAAACUGUGAAAGUGAACCAUAGCGGAUUAUAUAUAUACAGUAUAUAUAUAUAUAUAUAUGAGAAGAAAAAUAAGUGUGUGUGCUUAUGUAGAUGUACUAACUUUUUGUCUAAACAAAAUGACUCAAAACCCCGAGAAAAAAAAGUCCACAACAGUUAAGUGAAAGAAAGUGAAGGCAUAUGUGUUUAGAUUUCUUUCUAGUGUCGAGUUGAAUGAUGGAUGUGCUUUGGUGUCCUAAGCCCCACCCACCACCCUGUAUUUGUCCCCGCCUCCUCAUAAAGGGGGAGGAGCUCUUCUUUGUCCCACUCUGAUUGGAUGAGAGUGGUAAACGAAGCCCCGGUAGAUUUUUGGAGAAACAUGUUGUGUGUUGGUUUACAGAAAAGGUCCUCGUUGAUGUAUAUAGAUUUCUGUGGCGAGGAUUACGUCUCUAUUCUGUAUGUCUGUUGAAGAGAAAUAUAAAUGUGAAUCUGACAUGAAAUUGUAAGAAGUCGUGUGAGUAUCCUUCUAUUUCCCGUCAUCUUUUGAAAGUAUUUGGAAACAAAUAUGAAUAUCGUUACAUGAUUAAUAUACUGUAUAUUUAAGAAACUUCCAUGAGCUUCUGAAUCAUACCAGGUCACCAAGUGAUCCUUUUUUCUUUGUUUCUUUUUUUACUUGUGGCUUUUUUUCUAUGUUUCUUUAUUCGUCUUUCUGUCCAAUGUUAUUCAUAUGUUCCGUUUCUGUUAAUAAUCCUCCAGAAUGCAUGUCGAUAUUUGCUGGCAUUGCUAUCAAAAAACAUAUCUUACGACGAUCUUUAGAUAUUCGUCAGAGAGGUCAACUGAAACUGUUCCUUUUACAAUAACUGUACCUGUUUCUACCUGCGGUUUGACACUACACAUGUGGGUAUGUCUGUUGCCUGUGCUUUCAUUGUAACUAUGGUUACGACCAGGUCAGUAUGAUUAUUUUGUAUUUAGAGUAAGAUAUUAACAUUGCCAUACCAAACUCGUGAACCAAAAUGUUCAGACAGAUCAAAUCAAUACAAAAGAUUUCAAAGAAUAGCAGACAAUCAACAUGGUGAAAGGACUUUAGUGGUUUUGCUUACUUUUCACUUAAGUCAGAUACAGGCACAUAUUAAAGGUACCCUAUCGAGUUUUUUUUCCUAAACAAAGUUCUGUUUGUUUCUCACCAAAAAAAGCAUUGGGUGUCUACUUGAGGCUUUACAAAUGCGAUAAAUUAAUUUACUUCCAACUAAAAAAUGACAUUCCUGCACACACUCCUGUCACCUCUGCAAUAUUCCUUUUUAUUUGAGAAAUGGAUCUUUGGGGGAAUAAAAUCCCUGCACAAUGAAGGAGACAAAGCGAGUGGUGUGCGUGUUGCUUUGUACUCAUUUCGAAUGAAUUUGAAAAGCGGAUGAAACCUACGUUGUUUACAUACAAUACGGGGUGCUGCUCAUCAAUACGUUGCUUCAUAGUGCUACUAGUCAAAAACUCCACAGGGUUCCUUUAAGUUCCAUGUUACUUACCUGUGCCACACACUGCUGUUAGACAAAAUGGGCCAAGUGACAGUGUGUAUGUCUGCACUGCUGCUUUGACAAUAUUAUAAUUACGAUGCACAAUGAUAUUUGACAAAGGAAAAUCUCAUUUGAUUGCUGUCUGAACAUAACUUGUUCAAGUUGUUUAUUUGAUCAGUGCUGGAUGCCACUGUCCGUCUAGGCAUGAUCUGGUUCCCAAAAGCAUCUUAACACAAAACUCCUCGGUUCCCGCAGACUUACAAUGGAAUGAACAUGUUGAUAAUAUGCAUUUGGACAGCUGUGUAACACCAGAGGCCCCCAGUCCUUUGCUGUAAAUCAGACUAAUGUAAAGUGUACUGUGUGUGUUAUCUUUUUCAGUGGACUGAAUAAGCAAUUGGUUGUGAGAAUCUGAUAUGAUUCAGAGAAAACAAUGGGAGAUUAUUAACUUUUUUUCAUUACUGAAUAAUUGAAAUUGUAUUUUUGUUUAGUUGUAAAUUUAUUUUAUUUACGAUGGCCCUCCCCAGUGCAUGUAAGUCCUUUGAGGUGCAAUAAAUUCAAUGACGGAUUGAACUGCCCAUGAAGGAUUUCUUUUCUUCCAUAUCACAGAGAUUAUAUAAAAUGUCAGUAUGAAGGAGUAUUUCAUUAAUCUAUGUUUGUAUAUCCCACCACAUCAAAAGUAUGUUCAUGUCCAAGGCCAGAUUACCAACUUGGUAAAGACCCCCUAUAGUCCCCAGACCCUCAGGGG